UGGGGAAUAUUGCACAAUGGGCGAAAGCCUGAUGCAGCAAUGCCGCGUGUGUGAAGAAGGCCUUAGGGUUGUAAAGCACUUUCAAUAGAGAAGAAAAGCUUGAGAACAAUACUUUCAAGUCUUGACGUUACUUACAGAAGAAGCACCGGCUAACUCCGUGCCAGCAGCCGCGGUAAUACGGAGGGUGCGAGCGUUAAUCGGAAUUACUGGGCGUAAAGCGCGCGUAGGUGGUUUGGUAAGUCGGAUGUGAAAGCCCUGGGCUUAACCUGGGAAUUGCAUUCGAAACUGCCAGACUAGAGUAUGAUAGAGGGUAGUGGAAUUCCUGGUGUAGCGGUGAAAUGCGUAGAUAUCAGGAGGAACAUCAGUGGCGAAGGCGGCUACCUGGAUUAAUACUGACACUGAGGUGCGAAAGCGUGGGGAGCAAACAGG
rnacentral:rRNA from 1 species